GAUGAACGCUGGCGGCGUGCCUAAUACAUGCAAGUCGAGCGAACAGACGAGGAGUUUGCUCCUCUGACGUUAGCGGCGCACGGGUGAGUAACACGUGGAUAACCCACCUAUAAGACUGGGAUAACUUCGGGAAACCGGAGCUAAUACCGGAUAAUAUAUUGAACCGCAGGGUUCAAUAGGGAAAGACGGUUUUGCUGUCACUUAUAGAUGGAUUCGCGCCGCAUUAGCUAGUUGGUAAGGUAACGGCUUACCAAGGCAACGAUGCGUAGCCGACCUGAGAGGGUGAUCGGCCACACUGGAACUGAGACACGGUCCAGACUCCUACGGGAGGCAGCAGUAGGGAAUCUUCCGCAAUGGGCGAAAGCCUGACGGAGCAACGCCGCGUGAGUGAUGAAGGUCUUCGGAUCGUAAAACUCUGUUAUUAGGGAAGAACACAUGUGUAAGUAACUAUGCACGUCUUGACGGUACCUAAUCAGAAAGCCACGGCUAACUACGUG
rnacentral:rRNA from 1 species